AUUGAACGCUGGCGGCAGGCCUAACACAUGCAAGUCGAACGAGUGGCGGACGGGUGAGUAAUGUCUGGGAAACUGCCUGAUGGAGGGGGAUAACUACUGGAAACGGUAGCUAAUACCGCAUACCAUCAGAUGUGCCCAGAUGGGAUUAGCUAGUUGGUGGGGUAACGGCUCACCAAGGCGACGAUCCCUAGCUGGUCUGAGAGGAUGACCAACCACACUGCGACUGGGAAGCGGGCCAUGCUCCUUCGGGAGGCAGCGGUGGGGAAUAAUGGACAACGGGCACAAGCCUGAUGCAGCCAUGCCGCGGGUAUGAAGAAGGCCUUCGGGUUGUAAAGUACCUUCAGCGGGGAGGCGUUACCCGCAGAAGAAGCACCGGCUGACUCCGUGCCAGCAUGCGCGGUAAUUC
rnacentral:rRNA from 1 species